UUCGCUUCUCAGCCUUUUGGCUUAGAUCACGUGUAGUAUCUGUUCUUAUAAGGAGGGGUGUCAAAGCCUCUUCAGGUGAGACAGAGAAACACUUCAUCCUCU
rnacentral:snRNA from 1 species